ACGAACGCUGGCGGCGUGCUUAACCCCUGCAAGUCGAACGGAAAGGCCCUGCUUUUGUGGGGUGCUCGAGUGGCGAACGGGUGAGUAACACGUGAGUAACCUGCCCUUGACUUUGGGAUAACUUCAGGAAACUGGGGCUAAUACCGGAUAGGAGCUCCUGCUGCAUGGUGGGGGUUGGAAAGUUUCGGCGGUUGGGGAUGGACUCGCGGCUUAUCAGCUUGUUGGUGGGGUAGUGGCUUACCAAGGCUUUGACGGGUAGCCGGCCUGAGAGGGUGACCGGCCACAUUGGGACUGAGAUACGGCCCAGACUCCCACGGGAGGCAGCAGUGGGGAAUAUUGCACAAUGGGCGGAAGCCUGAUGCAGCAACGCCGCGUGCGGGAUGACGGCCUUCGGGUUGUAAACCGCUUUCGCCUGUGACGAAGCGUGAGUGACGGUAAUGGGUAAAGAAGCACCGGCUAACUACGUG
rnacentral:rRNA from 1 species